CUUAGUUCAGUUGGUAGAACGUCGGUCUCCAAAACCGGAUGUCGUGGGUUCAAGUCCUACAGG
rnacentral:tRNA from 1 species